rnacentral:ncRNA from 1 species
UGGGGGGCCCAAGUCCUUCUGAUCGAGGCCCAGCCCGUGGACGGUGUGAGGCCGGUAGCGGCCCCCGGCGCGCCGGGCCCGGGUCUUCCCGGAGUCGGGUUGCUUGGGAAUGCAGCCCAAAGCGGGUGGUAAACUCCAUCUAAGGCUAAAUACCGGCACGAGACCGAUAGCCAACAAGUACCGUAAGGGAAAGUUGAAAAGAACUUUGAAG